UGAUGUUUGCAUUUUGCAGGUAGAACAACUUUGGAAGUUCAAAGAAACAGAGGUUGUUGUUGCGCUCAUCAGAAGCACAUCGCAAAAACAGAAUUUCACCCUGAGACACAGAGAAUUUCAGAGUUUGAGACCCAACGGACUUUUGAUUGGGGAGGUCAUGGAGUGUUACAUUGGGGCGACCCUUAAAGAACAAGAUCCAAGCUGGAUCAAAUGGAUCACUACACCAUGGGAGGGAUUCUGCGUGGGAUAAGAGAGGAGGUGGCCAGACAAGGGCUAAAACAGGUUGAGUUUGACAAACACAACGGAGUUGUUGGCUUUGUCACCAUAGGAAUGUUUGUG